rnacentral:rRNA from 1 species
AACACGACUCUCGGCAACGGAUAUCUCGGCUCUCGCAUCGAUGAAGAAUGUAGCAAAAUGCGAUACCUGGUGUGAAUUGCAGAAUCCCGCGAACCAUCGAGUUUUUGAACGCAAGUUGCGCCCGAGGCCUUUUGGUUGAGGGCACGCCUGCCUGGGCGUCACGC